AUGGAUUGGUCGGGAAGCACCCCACGCAGUCCCGGCAAAGCCCCAGCACCGCACGCAUGUACGGGUUCGUCUUGUAGCCACCGCCGUCGGUUUGCCGGCAAGGAUUCGGCCGGCCGGCCGCCAGGCUCGGCGCUCGCUCGGCGGCUCAUCGACUCGCCGAUGCCGCUCAUACAGUGCGACGACUGCACGCGGACAGUGCUGCAGCUAACUUCUGGCACGCGAAAGCACCAUGGAUGGGUGUUCUUCAAAUACGAAAACGACGGGGAAGAUGGAUGCUCAUUUUGGUUUUGGGAAGGAGAAUACAUUGAUUUACUGAUAGAAAGAAAUUUAAUAGAUGUUCAUGCACUCCUUAGUAGAACUGAGGCUAAUGAUAUGGCUGCAUCCUGGACUAUAUAUGCCAUGAACUACUGGGAGUAUGAACUUUUUAAGCUGACCAUCUUUAUUCAAAGCAGGGCGCGGCAACCGGUGGGUGGGGAGGCACAACGAGUAGUGCGCGAUGGCCGGCGGGUGGGGAGGCACAACGAGCAGCGCCCGGCGGCCGGCGGGUUUAAUGUGGACACUUAUUUGCAUGCAGCUCAAAGAUCUGAUGAUAUGAAUAGCAGCAAGAUCCAAAUUUGCUUGUGCCAAAAGAAUCCUCCACCAUGCCCAAAUGGUUUGUGCUUCUGUUGUGCAUUGGAGCAAGAUAAAUGCUUUAGAACCAGCCAAGAAUGCAUUUGUGGUUCUGCUUGCCCUCCUUUAGAAGCAACCUCCCCUCAUCCCCUCCCUUUGCCUUAA
rnacentral:rRNA from 1 species